rnacentral:rRNA from 1 species
UACGAAGGGGGCUAGCGUUGUUCGGAAUUACUGGGCGUAAAGCGCUCGUAGGCGGAUUAGUAAGUCAGGGGUGAAAUCCCGAGGCUCAACCUCGGAACUGCCUUUGAUACUGCUGAUCUCGAGUCCGCAAGAGGUGAGUGGAAUUCCUAGUGUAGAGGUGAAAUUCGUAGAUAUUAGGAAGAACACCAGUGGCGAAGGCGGCUCACUGGUCCGGAACUGACGCUGAGGAGCGAAAUCGUGGUGAGCAAACAGG